rnacentral:rRNA from 1 species
UACGUAGGGUGCAGGCGUUAAUCGGAAUUACUGGGCGUAAAGCGUGCGCAGGCGGUUUGCUAAGACAGGUGUGAAAUCCCCGGGCUUAACCUGGGAACUGCGCUUGUUACUGGCAGGCUUGAGUGUGGCAGAGGGGGGUGGAAUUCCACGUGUAGCAGUGAAAUGCGUAGAGAUCUGGAGGAACACCGAUGGCGAAGGCAGCCCCCUGGGCUAACACUGACGCUCAUGCACGAAAGCGUGGGGAGCAAACAGG